UAGGCGCAUCCUCACCGGCUGCCCUUGGGUCGCUCUGUAGCAGACCUGGGCUGUUCAACAUAAAGCGCCUGCAGCCUGGAGCAUUUUUCUGUUUGCUUGCAUCCUCGUGAUGAAGUCCAGCAUGCUCCGCUGUCCUGCGUAUUUCCUGAGAAUCGGCAGCUGCAUCAGACUCAGUUUUCACACAGUAGCUGAGCUAUUUUUAUUAAGAAGAUUCUUCUUUCACCGAUGUAGUUACCCAGGGUGCUGCAGUUUAUAUCGGCAAGGUGAGAUAAAUAUUUGCUUCUAGCCCUUUGUUUUUGAAAUAACCAAGUGGUUCCAUAAACCCCUCUGAAAGUGGUCAAUAUCAUAUUUUUUUUUUGGUACCAGGGAUUGAACUUGGGACCUUGCACUUGCGAGGCAGGCGGCGGAACAACUGAGUUAAAUCCCGG
rnacentral:lncRNA from 1 species